rnacentral:rRNA from 1 species
AGGACGAACGCUGGCGGCGUGCUUAACACAUGCAAGUCGAGCGGGAAAGGCCCUUCGGGGUACUCGAGCGGCGAACGGGUGAGUAACACGUGAGUAAUCUGCCCCUAGCUCUGGGAUAGCUCCGGGAAACCGGGAUUAAUACCAGAUACGACCACUUUAGACAUCUGUUGUGGUGGAAAGAAUUUUGGCUAGGGAUGAGCUCGCGGCCUAUCAGCUUGUUGGUGAGGUAACGGCUCACCAAGGCGACGACGGGUAGCCGGCCUGAGAGGGCGACCGGCCACACUGGGACUGAGACACGGCCCAGACUCCUACGGGAGGCAGCAGUGGGGAAUAUUGCGCAAUGGGCGAAAGCCUGACGCAGCGACGCCGCGUGGGGGAUGAAGGCCUUCGGGUUGUAAACCCUUUCAGCAGGGACGAAGCGAAAGUGACGGUACCUGCAGAAGAAGCGCCGGCUAACUACGUGCCAGCAGCCGC